rnacentral:rRNA from 1 species
CCUGGUUUAUCUCACCAUUAAUCAUAUGCUUGUCUCAAAGAUUAAGCCAUGCAUGUGUAAAUAUAAACUAAUUUAGACUAUGAAAUUACAAAUGGCUUAUUAAAUCAGUUAUAGUUUGCUUGAUGGUAUCUACUACUUUGAUAACCAUAGUAAUUGUAGAGCUAAUACGUGCAACAAACCCUGACUUCUAGAAAAGAUGCAUUUAUUAUAUGAAAGGUCAACGUAAUCUUUGUCCAUUGCUCUGAUGAUUCAUGAUAACUCGAUGGAUCGCUUGGCCUUUGUGCUAGCAAUGUAUCAUUCAAAUUUCUAUACUGUCAACUUUUAAUGGUAGGAUAAUGGCCUACUAUGGUGGUAAUGAGGUGACAGAGAAUUAGGUUUCGAUUCUGAAAAAGAAACUUAAGAAAUGGCUACCACAACCAAGAAAGGUAGCAAACACACAAAUUACCCAAUCCUGACAUAAAGAGGUAGUGAUAAUAAAUAAUAAUAUUGGGCUCUAUAAGUCCGGUAAUUGGAAUAAGUACAAUUUAAAUCUCUUAACAAGGAUUAAUUAAAAGGCAAAUCUAGUGCUAGCAGCCAUGAGAAUUUUAGCUCUAAUAGGGUUGGGUCAUUUGGUUUGCCUCACGAUAAGCACCAGUUUACUCAUCCCUACUAUUGGCGAUGUGCUCUUAGCCUUAACUAGUUGGGUUAUUUCUCUGAUGCUAUUACUUUAAAAAAAUUAGAAUGCUUAAAGCAAGCUUAUGCUUGUAUACAUUAGCAUAAGAUAACAUCAUAGGAUUUCUGUUUUUUGGGAUCGAAGUAAUAAUUAAUAUGAAUAGUCAGGGGCAUUCGUAUUUCAUAGUCAAAGGUGAAAUUCUUGGAUUUAUGAAAGACAAACAACUACAAAAGCAUUUGCCAAGGAUGUUUUCAUUAAUUAAAGAUAAAAGUUUAGGGCUCAAACAUGAUCAAAUACCAUCCUAGUUUAAACCAUAAAUGAUACCGACCAUGGAUUGAUGAAUGUUACUUUUAAGACUCCAACAUCACCUUAUAAGAAAUCAAAGUCUUUGGGUUCUAAGAGGAGUCUGGUCAUAAGGCUAAAACUUAAAAGAAUUGACAAAAGGGCAACAUCAAAAGUAGAGCCUGUGGCUUAAUUUAUCUCAAUAUAGGAAAACUUACUAGGUCCAAACAUAGUAGAGACUAACAAACUGAGAGCUCUUUCUUGAUUCUAUGGGUGGUGGUGUAUGGCCAUUCUUAGUUGGUAGAGCGAUUUAUCUGGUUAAUUUCAUUAACAAAUGAGAAUUUAACAUGUUAACUAGCUUCACAGAGGUGAUCCUUUGUGGCUAGCUUUUUAAAAGGACUAUGGUUGGUUAGGCCAAGGAAGUUUGAGGCAAUAAUAGGUCUAUGAUGCCCUUAAAUGUUCUAGGCCACAUGCAUGCUACAUUAAUGUAUUCCAUGAGUCUAUAGCCUUAGCUGACAAGCUUGGAUAAUCUUUGAAAUUUCAUCUUAAUGGGGAUAGAUCAUUGCAAUUGUUGGUCUUUAAUGAGGAAUUCCUAUUAAGUGCAAGUUAUCAACUCACAUUGACUACAUCCCUGCCCUUUAUAUACACCACCCAUCGCUUCUACCAAUUGAAUGGUCUAGUGAAGUUUUUGGAUUGCGAUAACAUGGAUGAUUCGCUACCUACUAAGUCAUAAGAAAUCCACUAAACCUUACCAUUUAGAGGAAGGAGAAGUUGUAACAAGGUUUUCGUAGGUGAACCUAUGGAAG